CAGUCGCGUUUGCCGGGACUCAGCCUUGCUUCUGCUUGGUGCACUUCUCGGUAGAUGGGCCAGCAUCGAUUUUGACCAUUGGAUAAAGGCAUUGGGAAUGUGGCAUCUCAGGAUGUGUUAUAGCCCAUUGUUGCAUACGGUGGUUGGGAUUGAGGAACUCAGCACGCCGCAAGGCCGGUUUCGACCACGUUCGUGCUUAGGAUGCUGGCAUAAUGGCUUUAAUCGACCCGUCUUGAAACACGGACCAAGGAGUCUAACAUGUAUGCGAGUGUU
rnacentral:rRNA from 1 species